rnacentral:lncRNA from 1 species
CUCUUCUUAGACUUUCGUUCCCUCUCGCGAAUUCAUCUUCGUCUCUCACUGAAUCACUUCGUCAUCUUCCUCCUUCAAUCUCUCUCUCAGGUCACUUCUUCAUCUUCUUGAUUAAUUCUCGUGCUGCACUCGCACUCCCUCCCUCUCGCUCAGCCACACAUCAGAUCUUAUUGGGUCCUCAAGCGCAAACCUUUCUUCUAGGGUUCCUGAGCCAAACCAUGGAAGGGAGAGUGCAAAAGAAGAAGAGACAGUUCAGAGAGUGGCUCGUUGCUAAUGUCAAGACGAAAACCCUAUUCGAGC